rnacentral:tmRNA from 1 species
GGGGGCGAACCGGAUUCGACCGGGCAUGUGAAAUGACGGGCUGCGUGUCGUGGUUGGUCAGCGGGCCACUUAAAAAGCCGACUGUAAAAUUAAUUGCCAACGAAAGUAUGGCUAUGGCUGACUAAGAAAAGGCAACCC